UAGGGAAUCUUCGGCAAUGGGGGGAACCCUGACCGAGCAACGCCGCGUGAGUGAAGAAGGUUUUCGGAUCGUAAAGCUCUGUUGUUAAGGAAGAACGAGUGUGAGAAUGGAAAGUUCAUGCUGUGACGGUACUUAACCAGAAAGGGACGGCUAACUACGUGCCAGCAGCCGCGGUAAUACGUAGGUCCCGAGCGUUGUCCGGAUUUAUUGGGCGUAAAGCGAGCGCAGGCGGUUAGAAAAGUCUGAAGUGAAAGGCAGUGGCUCAACCAUUGUAGGCUUUGGAAACUGUUUAACUUGAGUGCAGAAGGGGAGAGUGGAAUUCCAUGGGUAGCGGUGAAAUGCGUAGAUAUAUGGAGGAACACCGGUGGCGAAAGCGGCUCUCUGGUCUGUAACUGAAGCUGAGGCUCGAAAGCGUGGGGGGCGAACAGG
rnacentral:rRNA from 1 species